UCAGAAAUGUUUUCCAUUGCUUGAGAAGCCAAAACCAUAUUGUUUACUAAUGUAGAAAACUUUUAUUUCACGGCAACAGAAUCCCAAAUCCAAGCUGAAAAGCUCAAAUCUCAAGACGAAGACAACCCCUUAUGUGAGCUCUAUAUAUCAAAUGGAUAUUAACCAAAUACCUCUAAUUCUCUCAAGGAACCUUAUAAAGAAAACAGAAGUCAUGAGAACUUCCAAAUGGGAAGUGAACUGCCAAGAGAUAACAGAAAAAGCCGAAUAUAAAGC
rnacentral:misc_RNA from 1 species